AUAACCACAGAUAAACAGGUAGACAUACAUACAGACACAUAUAACCACAGAUAAACAGGUAGACAUACAUACAGACACAUAUAACCACAGAUAAACAGGUAGACAUACAUACAGACACAUAUAACUACAGAUAAACAGGUAGACAUGAACAGAUACACAGAUAGACAGACACACAGAUGGACAUACAUACAGACAUACAAACAUCAAAAACUGUGUGAGUAGAGGUUACCCCUACUGAAAUGAACAUAUUGCAAGAAUAUACCAUGUUAAAGAAAGUAUGUAAUCAAUCUUCUGUACAAGAUGGCAGAUGAGGUAGAGGUUGUCUACCUGAAUGAUGGUCUUCACUGCUGAAUGAUAAACAACAGGCAUUUUCUCCAACUUUUUCACCUGUUUUCUAUCUUGCUGUGUUUUUCCAUAGGCACAGCACAUUCAUUGUGGAAGAAAUUUUUUCUUCAAAGAGGGUCUGUAUGGCAGACUUUGUGUACAACAUUUAGAAGAGACCUGGGCAUCCCCAUGGGCACCAAUUUUGCUCCCCCAGCAAAUCUGGAUCUGAUAUGAAUCAAAUUUCUGCAUGAUUGCCAAAAGCAAAACAAGAUGGAAGAUAGCUGCAGUGUGAGGAUCAGGUCAGAACACCAACAAGCAUUGAAUCCAUGCAGUGUACAGAACGAACACCCACCAACAAGCAUUGAAUCCAUGCAGUGUACAGAAUGAACACCCACCAAUAAGCAUUGAAUCCAUGCAGUGUACAGAAUGAACACCCACCAACCACCAUUGAAUCCAUGCAGUACAUUGAAUGGGACAAGAUUGCAUUAUAUACUAGUAUACUACUGUAUCUCAUAGUAGGAUGGACCCAUAUGUCUACAUGCACCUUAUCCCAGUAGGAUGAACACCCAUAUGUCUACAUGCACCUUAUCCCAGUAGGAUGAACACCCAUAUGUCUACAUGC